GUAGAAAAUUUUAAUCCCAAUCCAGGCUUGGAGGAGGAGAGAAGGGAGGAGAAGUGGUCAUGGGUUAGGUGAGCCAUAAAACAGGGCCCUGCGGGCUGGCCAAGUGAAGCUAAGAGCUGCACAGAUACAACAAAAUAGUAACUCGGGGCUAUCGGUAGGAAAAUAGAUUCUAAUAGCAUAGAGGAUAGGUAUUUGCCCAGCUCUAGCACUGACUAAGGCUUGAAAGUUGUGUGUGUCUCUUAUCCGGGAACUAAAUGGUCUAAGGCAAGGUAGAAAUCCCAAAUUGGGAUUAAAAUUUUUAUUACAACAGGGUGUCAUUAGCCCAAGCUAACUUUUUAUUAAUAUCUAUUAUAUAUAUAUUUAUUAAUAUUUAUUAUAUAUAUGUAACAUAAAAAUAUUUUUUAUGAUCCUCCUGACUACCUCCCCAUUGCUGACAUUAAAGGCAAGUGGUGACACCGCACCCAGUUUUAUGCUCUGCUGGGGACAGCACUCAGGCUUUGGUGCAUGGCAAGCAAACAGAGUAAGCAGGCGGGAGGGCAGGCAACUCUGUCAACUGAGCUACAAUAGCCCCCAAAUAACACACAAAGUUAUUUUGUUUGCCUGUCUUCCUUCCUUCCUUUUCCCCUCCCUUCUUUUUACAGAUUUAAAAAAGAAGAAAUCCAGAUAUAGCCGGAUGGAGAUAAUGUCGAAGCCUGGGAGUAUAUUUGGAUCAAAUAAAACGUAGGAAUUAGUUUAUGUCUACAAUGCUCAGAAUUCAGGAAGCUGAGGCAGGAGGAUUUCGAGAUCAACACCUACCUGAUGUAGGGAGCUUGUAAAUAAUUUAAAAAUUUUUUUUUAAUUGAACAAUGUACAUAUUUUGUUAUUUACAGCUACAGAGCAAGUAACGAUGGAAACUUACUGAUUAAAUGAUUUUAAGGAUGUUAUUUUCCUGAACCAUGCAGGCAGAAUUGCAGAGAUUCACUCCUGGGGGGGGGACAGGGGACACAAGAGAGGACAUAUCCUCCUUUCUCUGACAGAGCUUAUUUCCUAGUGGAACUAUAGUUUUGGCGCAACCAUGACAACGCUUCCCCCUUAGAGUCACAGGAAGGUCGCAGCCCUUCCUCACCCCUACCCUACCCCAAGAGUGCCAGGACACAUCCAAACCUCUGGUCCAGCUGCCCACCUCCUGGCAGGAAGGUGGGAGCAUUCAUUCCCUCCAGAGAGAUUGAUGAUAACCUGUCAGCCAAAGUACGUCUGUCUGGGGAGAAGGGCUGGCUCUCUAAGCCCCAAAGUGAGGUCAGCCAGUGAACAGUUAGAAAAGCAAUCAUUUCUCACACUUACUAAUGGGUUUGACGCUUGUGAAACAUAAACAGGAAGUAGAAGCUUGAGCGACCUGAAGGAAAUGCGCUCCCAGUUUGGUCAACAUGUGAAUCCCAGUCCUCCAGGCCGUCAGAACACUGACAAUGAAGACUGACCCACCAAACUGCACCCUGUUCUAGCAGUGACCUCAUUCCCCCCCCCAUUCCCCAGCCAGGUCACUCCGCAGCGGGGUGACUGACCCUAAGCACGGUAGCGAAGGUUAACAGUCAUCUCUCAACUCUCCGAACUUGCAGGGCAGGGGAGCGCAGAGGUCAGUGAAAUCCCCAGCCAGGCCUUAUUUUAGUCAUGAAUUUCCACUGGCCCCUUGCUGUGUGUCAGCGCAGCUCACAGCGCCGCAGGUUCUGCGUUUCAGAUGCUUUCCCAGCUCCGGGCUGUUAGAAGGUCAAAGAGACCAGAUUUUUCCAAUGCAGGUUGAUGGGGGUGGGGCCCGGCGGCCUCAGCGAGAUUGAAGAGAUCUGGGGCCCCUGGUGCUGCCCCUUUGUGCCCCGCGCACGGGCCUGUGGGUUAACCUCCACUACCUAAAGGUCUUGAUUAGUAUUAAAUUAAAACUUUCUUGUCUUAUAUUCCCUGCCAGUGGCCCCGAUAGACUUUCUGCUGAAGGCGGUCUUCUGGUUGGCCUUAUUGGCUCCUUCCCAAAGGUCCUUGUAAAUUCAAGGUCAAAAUCCGUGUUUGCUACCUCCACUGUCUCCAGCCGCGAGCUCGACUGGGUAAGGGGCUCAGUGAACGUGUGCUGCAUAAAUGUGGAGGUUUCACUGUGAUCGACCAAGGGGAUGGGAUGGGAGGGGGGCGCGCGCGGGAGGGGGGUCCUUCUUUCUCCUCUCUCUCCCGUUCUAGACUAGAUUGCAAGCAGCGCCACCCAAGUUCCUGGUUAGCAGCGGGAUCCCAUGUAGAUCCCUGGCAGCCUGGUGCGUAGGGGGCUAGGCUUGGAAGCCGGCGCGGAGAGGCUUGCAGUGAGCCGAGCUCCGGCCCGCGUCCGGGCCACGUGAAGCGUCACGCCCCGCGCUGCUGCAGGGCAGGCGCCGUCGCCGCGGUUGUGUAACACUGCAGCCGGAGGGGAGGCGACCCGGACGCCUC
ensembl:processed_transcript